GACGAACGCUGGCGGCGUGCUUAACACAUGCAAGUCGAGCGGUAAGGCCCUUUCGGGGGUACGACGAGCGGCGAACGGGUGAGUAACACGUGGGUGACCUGCCCUCAGCUCUGGGAUAAGCCUGGGAAACUGGGUCUAAUACCGGAUAUGACUCCAUGACGCAUGUUGUGGGGCGGAAAGCCUUGUGCGGCUGAGGAUGGGCCCGCGGCCUAUCAGCUUGUUGGUGGGGUGAUGGCCUACCAAGGCGACGACGGGUAGCCGGCCUGAGAGGGCGACCGGCCACACUGGGACUGAGACACGGCCCAGACUCCUACGGGAGGCAGCAGUGGGGAAUCUUGCGCAAUGGGCGAAAGCCUGACGCAGCGACGCCGCGUGAGGGAUGACGGCCU
rnacentral:rRNA from 1 species